UAACGCGUGGGAAUCUGCCCUUAGGUACGGAAUAACUCAGGGAAACUUGAGCUAAUACCGUAUAAUGACUCCGGUCCAAAGAUUUAUCGCCUAGGGAUGAGCCCGCGUCGGAUUAGCUAGUUGGUGAGGUAAAGGCUCACCAAGGCGACGAUCCGUAGCUGGUCUGAGAGGAUGAUCAGCCACACUGGGACUGAGACACGGCCCAGACUCCUACGGGAGGCAGCAGUGGGGAUUAUUGGACAAUGGGCGAAAGUCUGAUCCAGCAAUGCCGAGUGGGAUAUGAAGGCCUUAGGGUUGU
rnacentral:rRNA from 1 species